GGGUUGUGAGGUUAAGCGACUAAGCGUACACGGUGGAUGCCCUGGCAGUCAGAGGCGAUGAAGGACGUGCUAAUCUGCGAAAAGCGUCGGUAAGGUGAUAUGAACCGUUAUAACCGGCGAUGUCCGAAUGGGGAAACCCAGUGCAAUUCGUUGCACUAUCGUUAACUGAAUACAUAGGUUAACGAGGCGAACCGGGGGAACUGAAACAUCUAAGUACCCCGAGGAAAAGAAAUCAACCGAGAUUCCCCCAGUAGCGGCGAGCGAACGGGGAGCAGCCCAGAGUCUGAAUCAGCUUGUGUGUUAGUGGAACGGUCUGGAAAGUCCGACGGUACAGGGUGAUAGUCCCGUACACCAAAAUGCACAGGCUGUGAACUCGAAGAGUAGGGCGGGACACGUGGUAUCCUGUCUGAAUAUGGGGGGACCAUCCUCCAAGGCUAAAUACUCCUGACUGACCGAUAGUGAACCAGUACCGUGAGGGAAAGGCGAAAAGAACCCCGGCGAGGGGAGUGAAAAAGAACCUGAAACCGUGUACGUACAAGCAGUGGGAGCACCUUCGGGUGUGACUGCGUACCUUUUGUAUAAUGGGUCAGCGACUUAUAUUCUGUAGCAAGGUUAACCGUAUAGGGGAGCCGCAGGGAAACCGAGUCUUAACUGGGCGUUAAGUUGCAGGGUAUAGACCCGAAACCCGGUGAUCUAGCCAUGGGCAGGUUGAAGGUUGGGUAACACUAACUGGAGGACCGAACCGACUAAUGUUGAAAAAUUAGCGGAUGACUUGUGGCUGGGGGUGAAAGGCCAAUCAAACCGGGAGAUAGCUGGUUCUCCCCGAAAGCUAUUUAGGUAGCGCCUCGUGAAUUCAUCUUCGGGGGUAGAGCACUGUUUCGGCUAGGGGGUCAUCCCGACUUACCAACCCGAUGCAAACUACGAAUACCGAAGAAUGUUAUCACGGGAGACACACGGCGGGUGCUAACGUCCGUCGUGAAGAGGGAAACAACCCAGACCGCCAGCUAAGGUCCCAAAGUCAUGGUUAAGUGGGAAACGAUGUGGGAAGGCACAGACAGCCAGGAUGUUGGCUUAGAAGCAGCCAUCAUUUAAAGAAAGCGUAAUAGCUCACUGGUCGAGUCGGCCUGCGCGGAAGAUGUAACGGGGCUAAACCAUGCACCGAAGCUGCGGCAGCGACACUAUGUGUUGUUGGGUAGGGGAGCGUUCUGUAAGCCUGCGAAGGUGUGCUGUGAGGCAUGCUGGAGGUAUCAGAAGUGCGAAUGCUGACAUAAGUAACGAUAAAGCGGGUGAAAAGCCCGCUCGCCGGAAGACCAAGGGUUCCUGUCCAACGUUAAUCGGGGCAGGGUGAGUCGACCCCUAAGGCGAGGCCGAAAGGCGUAGUCGAUGGGAAACAGGUUAAUAUUCCUGUACUUGGUGUUACUGCGAAGGGGGGACGGAGAAGGCUAUGUUAGCCGGGCGACGGUUGUCCCGGUUUAAGCAUGUAGGCUGGUUGUCCAGGCAAAUCCGGAUAAUCAAGGCUGAGGUGUGAUGACGAGGCACUACGGUGCUGAAGUAACAAAUGCCCUGCUUCCAGGAAAAGCCUCUAAGCAUCAGGUAACAUUAAAUCGUACCCCAAACCGACACAGGUGGUCAGGUAGAGAAUACCAAGGCGCUUGAGAGAACUCGGGUGAAGGAACUAGGCAAAAUGGUGCCGUAACUUCGGGAGAAGGCACGCUGGUGUGUAGGUGAAGUCCCUGCGGAUGGAGCUGAGACCAGUCGAAGAUACCAGCUGGCUGCAACUGUUUAUUAAAAACACAGCACUGUGCAAACACGAAAGUGGACGUAUACGGUGUGACGCCUGCCCGGUGCCGGAAGGUUAAUUGAUGGGGUUAUCCGUAAGGAGAAGCUCUUGAUCGAAGCCCCGGUAAACGGCGGCCGUAACUAUAACGGUCCUAAGGUAGCGAAAUUCCUUGUCGGGUAAGUUCCGACCUGCACGAAUGGCGUAAUGAUGGCCAGGCUGUCUCCACCCGAGACUCAGUGAAAUUGAACUCGCUGUGAAGAUGCAGUGUACCCGCGGCAAGACGGAAAGACCCCGUGAACCUUUACUAUAGCUUGACACUGAACAUUGAGCCUUGAUGUGUAGGAUAGGUGGGAGGCUUUGAAGCGUGGACGCCAGUCUGCGUGGAGCCAACCUUGAAAUACCACCCUUUAAUGUUUGAUGUUCUAACGUUGGCCCCUGACCGGGGUUGCGGACAGUGUCUGGUGGGUAGUUUGACUGGGGCGGUCUCCUCCCAAAGCGUAACGGAGGAGCACGAAGGUUAGCUAAUCCUGGUCGGACAUCAGGAGGUUAGUGCAAUGGCAUAAGCUAGCUUGACUGCGAGCGUGACGGCGCGAGCAGGUGCGAAAGCAGGUCAUAGUGAUCCGGUGGUUCUGAAUGGAAGGGCCAUCGCUCAACGGAUAAAAGGUACUCCGGGGAUAACAGGCUGAUACCGCCCAAGAGUUCAUAUCGACGGCGGUGUUUGGCACCUCGAUGUCGGCUCAUCACAUCCUGGGGCUGAAGUAGGUCCCAAGGGUAUGGCUGUUCGCCAUUUAAAGUGGUACGCGAGCUGGGUUUAGAACGUCGUGAGACAGUUCGGUCCCUAUCUGCCGUGGGCGCUGGAGAAUUGAGGGGGGCUGCUCCUAGUACGAGAGGACCGGAGUGGACGCAUCACUGGUGUUCGGGUUGUCAUGCCAAUGGCACUGCCCGGUAGCUAAAUGCGGAAGAGAUAAGUGCUGAAAGCAUCUAAGCACGAAACUUGCCCCGAGAUGAGUUCUCCCUGAGACUUUAAGUCUCCUGAAGGAACGUUAAAGACGAUGACGUUGAUAGGCCGGGUGUGUAAGCGCAGCGAUGCGUUGAGCUAACCGGUACUAAUGAACCGUGAGGCUUAACCUUACAACGCCGAAG
rnacentral:rRNA from 2 species